CCUGUGCACACUGUGUAGCUGAUUUGUUUUAUAACAGCAGUAACAUUAACUAGAAAGCUGUAAAUGUCAUGGCAGGAGCGUUACUAAUGAUGAGAUCAGAAAAGGGAGAACUAGAGACUUGGAGAGGGCUAGAGAGCUGGAACAUUAUAGAGAGACAUAGAAUGUACCUAUUCAAUUGACUAGGUACACAUGUGCGUCGCAGGGUUAUUCAGGGGUCAAGGUGUGGUGUGCAUAGCUAUUAGUCGCGAGGGCAUCAGCAACGGCUCUUGAGAUGCCCUUGUGAACUUUCCAUGCAGG